rnacentral:sRNA from 1 species
UUCCCGAGCCGCUCAUCUCCUUUCGCCUCUACCACGAGCUCGUAGGGCUGGCCAAGGACAGCCUGAAGGCAGAGGCUGAGGCCAAGGCGGCGUCCCGGGGCCGGCAGGACAGCUCGGAGAGCGAGGCAGUGGCGGUGGCCAUGGCAGGUCGGCUGCGGGAGCUCCUGCGGGACCUGCCGCCUGAGAACCGGGCCUCGCUGCAGUACCUGCUGCGGCACCUGCGCAGGUGAGUCCCGGCAUAUGGGGUGGAGAGCGCGGGGUUCCGGGAGCCGCUCAGCACCUGGCCCCUGCCCACCCCGCAGGAUCGUGGAGGUGGAGCAGGACAACAAGAUGACCCCCGGGAACCUGGGCAUCGUGUUCGGGCCCACGCUGCUUCGGCCACGGCCCACUGAGGCCACCGUGUCCCUCUCCUCCCUGGUGGAUUACCCCCACCAGGCCCGCGUCAUCGAGACUCUCAUCGUCCACUACGGUCUGGUCUUCGAGGAGGAGCCGGAGAUCAUCCCCGGGGGCCAGGACGAGUCAUCCAACCAGCGAGCCGAGGUAGUCGUCCAGGUGCCGUACCUGGAGGCGGGCGAGGGGGUGGUCUACCCCCUGCAGGAGGCGGCAGAGGACGGGUGCAGAGAAUCCCGAGUUGUGUCCAACGAUUCAGACUCGGACCUAGAGGAGGCCUCCGAGCUGUUGUCCUCAUCGGAGGCCAGUGCCCUGUGCCGUCUCAGCUUCCUGGAGCAGCAGCAGAGCGAGGCCAGCCUAGAAGAGGCUUCUGGCAGCCACAGCGGCAGUGAGGAGCAGCUGGAGACCACGGCCCGGGAGGAUGGGGACGGGGACGAGGACAGCCCGGCCCAGCAGCUUUCAGGAUUCAAUACCAACCAGUCCAACAACGUGCUGCAGACCCCACUGCCCCCUAUGAGGCUCCGUGGCGGGCGGAUCACGCUGGGCUCCUGCAGGGAGAGGCAGCCGGAAUUUGUGUGAGCUGGGGUGGGGCUGGGACCACAGGUGGCUUCUCUCUUGCCUGCUCCUGUCCCUCCAGCACGUCCCCUGCGCCACGGCAUAGCUUAGGUGCGCCAUCCUGGGGUCGCUGCCAAGAGCGCCUGGACUUCGAUGUCCCACCAGCAUGCGCCUCCUCCCAGAGGCUUCCAGGAGCACGAGGGCCUUGGGGCACAGGAGUUUGCUCUGUGCUCUCCCCUGCACCCCGGCUCAGCUGAGCUGGAGAACACUGCUGUCUUGUGAAGUCACGGUGGCCUUGUCGGUGCCCACAGGGCUGUGUGGAUGGAGGAAGCUGUCCCUGCCCAGCGCAUCCCCCUGGUCAUCACAGGGAUGGCAGGCCCUGCCCCGCCCUCUCCUCACAGGUCUGUUGCAGGGACUCCAGAAACCGUUCUGGGAGCCGUGGAUGGGGGUGGAGGCUGGGGUUUGGUGCAGUUUCCAGGGUGCAGUACAGCAGGGCCUGAACACUGGCCCUGGACUCCCUUUUCCAGAACACCAGGUGUGGCCACCUGGGGCUCAGGUGCGCAGUGGGGCCUCUCCGAAGCCACCGUGUAGUUCUUUCACAGGCACGUUUAUU